rnacentral:rRNA from 1 species
CAUGCAAGUCGAACGCUUCCUGAGUGGCUUGCCAUUCAGGAAGAGUGGCGAACGGGUGAGUAACACGUGGGUAAUCUCCCCCCGAGUGAGGGAUAAGCUUGCGAAAGCGGGUCUAAUACCGCAUGAGGCUUCGGGACGUAAGUCUUCGAAGUUAAAGCCGUAAGGCGCUUGGGGAUGAGCCUGCGUCCUAUUAGCUAGUUGGUAGGGUAAUGGCCUACCAAGGCUGUGAUGGGUAGCCGGCCUGAGAGGGUGAUCGGCCACACUGGAACUGAGACACGGUCCAGACUCCUACGGGAGGCAGCAGUGAGGAAUUUUGCGCAAUGGGCGAAAGCCUGACGCAGCGACGCCGCGUGGAGGAAGACGGCCUUCGGGUUGUAAACUCCUGUCAGAGGUGAAGAAUGCCCGCAAGGGCUAGACGAUAAC